AUUAAUUGGAUAGCGCCAGACCUGCUUUAGACAGGUGACGAGGAAGAACUUAUCGAAGAUUUCGGCGGGUAGUUCUAGGAAACUGCAUCCUAAAGAUGAACAGUAAAAUUAGGCAGUAAUGUCUUUGACAAAGUGUUGAUCACGCAGAGCA
rnacentral:ncRNA from 2 species